AACGAACGCUGGCGGCAUGCCUAACACAUGCAAGUCGAACGAGACCUUCGGGUCUAGUGGCGCACGGGUGCGUAACGCGUGGGAACCUGCCCUUAGGUUCGGAAUAACUCCCCGAAAGGGGUGCUAAUACCGGAUAAUGUCUUCGGACCAAAGAUUUAUCGCCUUUGGAUGGGCCCGCGUUGGAUUAGCUAGUUGGUAGGGUAAAAGCCUACCAAGGCGACGAUCCAUAGCCGGUCUGAGAGGAUGAUCAGCCACACUGGGACUGAGACACGGCCCAGACUCCUACGGGAGGCAGCAGUGGGGAAUAUUGGACAAUGGGCGAAAGCCUGAUCCAGCAAUGCCGCGUGAGUGAUGAAGGCCUUAGGGUUGUAAAGCUCUUUUACCCGGGAUGAUAAUGACAGUACCGGGAGAAUAAGCACCGGCUAACUCCGUG
rnacentral:rRNA from 1 species